rnacentral:rRNA from 1 species
AUGGCCACCAGGAGCGGAUCCGCCAUCUCGGCUGGCUGGGCAGCGCCCCAGCCUUGCCGACCACUAACCGUACGUCGGAGAAACUUACCCCGACCACCAUGCUACUUAUCUACCACCUUCCCGCCAUGCCCGGGCGUCUGCACGUCUACAUCCCGCAAGAACGGGGCUCUGCCGGCGGCUGCCACGGAAGCCGAAACCGAGGGCGAGGUGCUGCUGGAGUCCCCGGGGCACUUCCGCAUCUACAAGUGCGGCAAGAUGGACCGCCUCAACGAACCCACCGUCUCGCCUGCCGGCCUGGACGAGGCCACCGGCGUCACCUCCAGGGACGUCGUCCUCGACGCCGACACCGGCGUCUCCGUGCGCCUCUACCUCCCCAAGCUCCGAGACCCCUCGGAGAAGCUCCCGGUCCUCGUCUACUUCCACGGCGGCGCCUUCCUCAUCGGGUCGGCCGACGACGCCACGUACCACAGCUACGUCAACUCCCUCGCGGCCGCGGCCGGCGUCCUCGUGGUGUCCGCCGACUACCGCCUCGCCCCGGAGCACCCGCUGCCCACGGCCUACGACGACUGCUGGGCCGCGCUCCAGUGGGCGGUGGCGCCGUCGACGCAGGACGAGUGGAUCUCCGGGCACGGCGACACGGCCCGCCUCUUCCUGGCGGGCGACAGCGCCGGCGCCAACAUCGUGCACGAGAUGCUCGUGAGGGCGGCGGUGAACUCCCACCCGAGGAUGGAGGGCGCGGUGCUGCUGCACCCGUGGUUCAGCGGGAGCGAGGCGAUCGAGGGGGAGCCUCCGGCGGUGCCCAUGUUCAACGGGAUGAUCUGGUCGUACACGUGCCCGGGGACGGUGGGCAGGGCCGACGACCCGAGGAUCAACCCGCUGGCGCUCGGCGCGUCGUCGCUGGAGCUGCUGGCGUGCGAGAGGAUGCUGGUGUGUGCGGCGGAGAAGGACGUGCUGGCGAGGAGGAUCCGCGCGUACUACGACGGCGUGGCCGCGGGCGCGUGCCAGGCGCCGGGCGCCGCGGCGUGGUUCGAGUCGGAGGGCGAGGACCACGACUUCUUCCUCGGGAAGACGGACUGCGAGAGCGCCAAGCAGCUCCUGGAUCGCGUCGCGGCGUUCAUCGCUGAGGGCUGA